rnacentral:tRNA from 1 species
AAAAAAAUAAGCUAAAAAAGCUUUUGGGUUCAUACCCCAACUAUAAAGGUUUAAUCCUUUUUUUUUUA